GUGUGUACCCACCACGUAAACAUGAGACACACCAGCGUGCUGAUGAGUAUCACCACCUGGUUGAACAUGGCCGAAUGCGUCCGCUGGAUGGCCCUGUGGAGGUCGUUCUGCAAAAAGAGAGACGCCUCAUGAGUCGUGCGAAUGGAAAUGCGGCCUAGAGAGCAUGUUUGGCCAGCCAGCAAUUGAGGAAAACUGGGAUGAAGAGAUUUCGGAAUGAGGGCAGAAUCACCUGUGGGAAAAAAUAAGAAACAGAGAGCACUUCACUUCUGCUCGUGUUUCUCCAGCAGAAUGCAUACGCAAUCAUCUCUUGAGGAGGUGCGAUAGCAGAAGCCUACUGUGACACCCAUAAGUGCCAUAUACUGUGACAGCAGUGAUCAUGAAGGGAACGGCGCUGAUCAUCUCCAGAAUGAAAGGAACACGUAGUACUUGCUCCCAGACGUUGCCCUGGAGACGCAAAGCACACACAAGAGAGAAGUGUAGGCGGACUCGCUGACACCUCCUGCGUCCAUGGGAUUUAGUCGACUUUAAAGUAACGCGCGCAUGGGGUCCUUCAUAGGCUUAAAGUGGCAAGUACAUGAAAGGCAGUGGCACACCUGGAUGGAUGGACACCCUGCAAUAGCAACACAGAGGCUUCUCCUAAAGUCCGUCUCAUGUAUCAUCCCUUGAACACGUUGGAGGUCGGUCACCCACAGAUUGAUUUGAUUUUUAACAGAAUUUUUUAAUACGAGGGGACACAUUUUCAAAAGGGUUGGGCCGGCCAGAAAUUCAGUGGCACCCAAUGUUCCAUCUAAUUUUUCAUGUGUCUGAGCAGACACAAAAGCUCUCUGAGCACACUGCGGACCACAGUGAGCAACGUCAGAUGUGUAC